UGCAUAUCAAUAAGCGGAGGAAAAGAAACUAACAAGGAUUCCCCUAGUAACGGCGAGUGAAGUGGGAAAAGCUCAACUUUGAAAUCUGGUACUUUCAGUAUCCGAAUUGUAGUCUCAAGAAGUGUUUUCUGUGCCGGUCCAUGUAUGAGUCUGUUGGAACACAGCGUCAUAGAGGGUGACAACCCCGUUCAUGACAUGGAUCCCGGUGCUUUGUGAUACACUCUCGAAGAGUCGAGUUGUUUGGGAAUGCAGCUCAAAUUGGGUGGUAAAUUCCAUCUAAAGCUAAAUAUUGGCGAGAGACCGAUAGCAAACAAGUACCGUGAGGGAAAGAUGAAAAGCACUUUGGAAAGAGAGUUAACAGUACGUGAAAUUGUUGAAAGGGAAACGAUUGAAGUCAGACGUGCGUGAUGCGGUUCAGCUUUAGUUCGCUAGAGUGUACUCCGUAUCUUUGCAGGCCAACAUCGGUUUUGUUAGUCGGAUAAAGGUUUGAGAAAUGUGGCACCUUCGGGUGUGUUAUAGUCUCAGACUGAAUACGAUUGAUGGGACCGAGGAACGCAGCGCGCCGCAAGGCAAAGGUUCCGACCUUUUCGCGCUUAGGAUGUUGGUGAAAUGGCUUUAAACGACCCGUCUUGA
rnacentral:rRNA from 1 species